CCCACUCGUGCUGCUGCUAUACUGUAAUCAUAUGAUAGGGAGUCGAUCCCCGCUGCAGAAUACCGACACACCGGGCGGACACCAGCAGAGCAGCCGGGGCGGACGACACCACACGAGAGCAGGUUUUUAUUUUUAACAAGUGCGUGGAGUCUGUUAACGUGUCGCCACAAGUGUCAAAACAGAGCCAAACUCCCCCUACAAAAGGAACUUUUUUCGAACUCUGGACAGAGAGUCGGCACCGGGAGGAAGAAGAGAGGACACACAGACGAAACGUUAACCCAAGGACAGUCUGUUUCACCGGGACUGAGACUUGAGUUUACUCCGCUAUCAGAGCGGCGGUCAGCGGGUCGCGGCCGGUGGAAACCCCUGGGGUCUUCGCAUCGCUUGUCUGGGCGUGUGCGUUCUUUUUUUGAAAAUACCCACCGCAAAUUUCUCAUCUAGUCACUUUAUUGUAGAAGCUAAAGCCAUGGUUGGAGAAACAGAGGUGAAGGAGAGACCCAAGUCCAACCCGGACUACCUAAUGCAGCUGAUGAACGACAGGAAGGUGAUGAGCUCCCUGCCCAACUUCAGCGGGAUCUUCUCGCAUCUGGAGCGGCUUCUGGAUGAAGAAAUCGGCAGGGUACGCAAGGACAUGUACAACGACACAGUGAACGGUGGCAUGUUUAACGGGCGGGACAUGGAGGAGCUUCCCGAAGCUAUCGGCCCUGUGGCUCAGCUCCAGGAGAAGCUCUACGUUCCUGUCAAAGAGUACCCAGACUUUAACUUUGUAGGGAGGAUCCUGGGGCCACGUGGACUGACGGCAAAACAACUGGAGGCAGAGACCGGCUGCAAGAUAAUGGUACGAGGAAAGGGCUCCAUGAGAGACAAGAAGAAGGAGGAGAUGAACCGAGGGAAGCCCAACUGGGAGCACCUCAGCGAAGAUCUCCACGUCCUGAUCACAGUGGAGGACACACACAAUCGGGCCAAGAUCAAACUCCAGCGUGCUAUAAACGAGGUCAAGAAACUUCUCGUGCCAGCUGCUGAGGGGGAGGACAACCUGAAGAAAAUGCAGUUGAUGGAGCUGGCCAUUCUCAAUGGGACCUACAGAGACGCCAAUGUCAAGAUGCGUAAGGAUGACAUCAUAGUUAACUUGUGGAGGAGGGAUGCCACCGCUGGCUUCCCUCUGGGGACACCUCAGGCGCCUCGGCUCAUCACAGGUCCGACGCCGGUCCUGCCUCCCUCCCUGCGCAACCCCACCCCGGUCAACACGCAGACCAUGUUGCCUCUGAUUCGUCAGAUCCAGAGCUCCGCCCUCAUGCAGGGAGGCAAUCCGCACCCGGCGCUGGUGCAGCAAGGGCCUGAAUCUGGAAUCAUCUACGCGCCCUACGACUAUCCCUACACACUUACGCCAUCCAUAUUGGAAUAUCCAAUUGACUCAACUGGAGUUUUAGGUAUGGCUUUCCCAACCAAAGGCUAGGCGAUAUCAACCCUUCCUAGCACACACACGGACUGGCUUGCAGAGACCCCCCCCCCCCCCCCCCCCAACAUACUUCUCCCACAUAGCAAACACUCAAAGUUUGCUCAUACUUUAGGAUGACAGAGAGUCAUUCUGUAGUCAAGUGUCCAUUCCUGUUAAUUUCCUCUUUGUAUUAGCAGACUAGUGUUGUGGUUUGACAGCUAUUUAACUUUUUUUAAUAGUUCAGCUUCCGCUUGUAAUUUUAACACAUUUUAGUGAACCCAUAGAUAUUUUAGCGCUGCUGUUUGUGAUUUAAUAUAAGCUUAUUUUAAUCACAGAGCUAUAGAGUGACUUUGCUUACAGCCGAUGUUGAAUCUACUAGUGAAGCUUAGUGAGAAAUUAGUGGUUUGGAUUAAUAUUUUCUUUAGAGAACAGAAGACCACAAAACAACAAGAAUUCUCUCUCUUAGAGAAGCAAGAUGUUUGUUUUUUUUUUACUUAUUUUCGCCCUCAGCCUUGAACACUUUGUAAAUUCCUGGUUUCACUGAUGUUGGUGCCAUGGGUGGACUGUUUGAUGUCUUUCUGAUGAGUAACCUUCUGUGUUCUGUUUUGGCGAUGUCAAUGGCUGUUAGCAGGUGCCAUGACCACUAAGGUACGACGCCACGACAAGAGAAUCCAUCCUUACCAAAGGGUAGUGACCCCAGACAGAGCUGCCACGGCAACUAACCCAUGACCCCUUGACCUUCUGACCUUUCCGCCCACUGAUGACCCAUCCAUCUCCGCCUGCUGGCGUGCUCAUUGGCCCACGGCCCCGUCACUCCCCAAGCUCAGCCAACCAGACCAGCACAUUGGGAACAACCCGGCUGCUUCUGUCUAACCAGCCAACCAGAUGACAGCAAUCAUGGGAAUAAACCUCAGGACCCCGCCCACCACCAAGUCCUAACAUAAACUUUACCAAACGUGCCUUCCUUCCCAAAGUCCAAAGCCAGUCGGAGAAUGUUUUAUAACCAGUCGAAACCCCAAUCUGUAACAGCUGCUGCCCUGCAUAACAAGUAGACUUUUCUGGGGAUGGGCUCCUAAACCCAGCUGCCCUGCCCACAGCCCAUGUGAUGCAAUAAUAAUGACUCUAUUAAUAACAUGGUAACUAUACUUAUGAUAAUGGUACUUAUCCAGUACAAAAAACCCUCCACAACACUCAAACAUAGAGAGAUAUGUUGGUAUUUUCAAGCUUCUUUUGUCCAUCUGGCACCUCUUACUUGAAGGAAAAUCUACCAAAUGAUCAUUUGUAUAUUCAAUUCUCACCCCAUGUUUCAUAUAUUUUCGAAGCAAACAUUGUUUUCUUGCAUGCCUCCAUGGUGAAAAAAGAAUCGAAUAGCUGUUGAUAUUCUUUACUUUUUUUGAUUCUCCGUUCACUGUGGUGAAAUGCAGGAAAGACAAAGUUUUCCUAAAGAAUUCAAGGGAACACUGGGUGAGUAAUUGGUAUGAUACUGGCAAUUUUGGAUGGAAGAACUAAUUAUAAUUUUCUGCACACUCUUUAAAGGGAAUAAUUAAAUACAUGUAUUGUUUACGCCUUAUAAUUGGCAUUUAAAUGUUAAUAUAUCAACACAUUUUCUCUUCAGUGGUAAAACAAACAAUGUAUUUAAAUUGUUACUUGUUACUUUUCUUCUCGUAUUAUUUUGUGCAUUAGUUUCUCAAACAGGACAAAAAAGCCAUCGCUAAAGUAAGGUAAAUGUUUUCAAGGUCAAAAGAAACCUGUGAUCAGUUAGGAAAUCCAAAAUGCCAAAGUAUGUUUUUGAGCUUUUUCUAAACAAGUAAAUCUCCUAACUGACUCAACAUAUGCAGUAUAAAUGCAAUGUCUGUACUUCAGUACGGACACACACAGAGGGAAGGUUGCACUCAUUUCUAAACAGAGGACUUACACAGCGGUGCCUUUUUCACACUACAGUAUUGUACGAGCUUGAACAACAGUGCCUUUAUUUAUUUUAGAGCGAUGGAACAAUGUUACACCUAAAUCUUUCCCUACAAUGUGGGUUUGUGCCCAGCAUGAAAUUAUGUCCUUAGGGUGUAUGCAGAUUAUUUGUCAUUAUCUACAUUUUAUGGCGCACACCCAUAACUCUUCUAUUCUCGAUUCAGUGCCAAAAGAAAGUGGCUCAUUUGAAUCGGAAGUGCAAUUGAAGCAGCAGCUAUGAUGUUUGAAAUGUUUAUGUGUCAGGUUCGGACACCUCCGAAGAACAGUGUUAUAUUUUAUCUUUUUGUUUUGUUUGUGUUUUUGAUUGUUUUUGAAGUCCUUCAUAUUUCUGCAUGUGUAUCCACUUUUUCAGAAGGUUUGGUAUGGUUACACACAAACCAACUGAUGCCUUGACAUAAAAAAAAAGAAGAAAAAUCAUGGAGCCGUAACAUUUGUAACAAGUUUAUAAUGUAUUUUUAUAUUCAAUUUUGUAAGUGAGCAUAACAUUAAAUGACCUUUUCAGACAAAAAAACAUUAUGCCUUAUUGCGGAGAGUAAUUUGAUGAAUUCAACGAUCUUUCACGUGUCAAUAUUAGUAACCAAUGUCCUGAUAUACUGGAAUCUCUGACUUCCUCUGUAUUAACUUGAGCCUUUGAGAUCAACAUUGCUUGCCUCCUGUGCCUUUUGUAUACUAUAAGUGUGACAUUAACAGUGUAGAACAACAUUAAUCUACUCUUCAGUGACAAGUGUAGGUUACUAACUGUUACCACUUCUGUGAUUAUUAACCACUUUAAUGGUAUCUGUGUCUGCUUUGGAUUCCUUUACAAAGAAAAUAUGUGUGUCUAAAAAAAAUGGAAAGAUAUGUGUUGAACUUUUAACUUUUAAAGUGAGCAGGAAUAACUCUUUGUACAACAUUAAACUCAUAGUUGUUAAACUAACAAA